rnacentral:lncRNA from 1 species
GAAGGGUUAUUGGCUGCGAGGGAAGGGUUAUUGGCUGCGAGGGAAGGGUAAUUGGCUGCGAGGGAUGGGUUAUUGGCUGCGAGGGAAGGGUUAUUGGCUGCGAGGGAUGGGGUUAUUGGCUGCGAAGGAAGGGUUAUUGGCUGCGAGGGAAGGGUUAUUGGCUGCGAGGGAAGGGUUAUUGGCUGCGAGGGAUGGGUUAUUGGCUGCGAGGGAAGGGUUAUUGGCUGCGAGGGAAGGGUUAUUGGCUGCGAGGGAAGGGUUAUUGGCUGCGAGGGAAGGGUUAUUGACUGCGAGGGAAGGGUUAUUGGCUGCGAGGGAAGGGUUAUUGGCUGCGAGGGAAGGGUUAUUGGCUGCGAGGGAUGGGGUUAUUGGCUGCGAGGGAUGGGGUUAUUGGCUGCGAGGGAUGGGUAAAUUGACUGCGAGGGAUGGGUAAAUUGACUGCGAGGGAUGGGUAAAUUGGCUGCGAGGGAUGGGUAAAUUGACUGCGAGGGAUGGGUAAAUUGACUGCGAGGGAUGGGUAAAUUGACUGCGAGGGAUGGGUUAUUGGCUGCGAGGGAUGGGUAAAUUGACUGCGAGGGAUGGGUUAUUGACUGCGAGGGAUGGGUUAUUGACUGCGAGGGAUGGGUUAUUGACUGCGAGGGAUGGGUUAUUGGCUGCGAGGGAUGGGUUAUUGGCUGCGAGGGAUGGGUAAAUUGACUGCGAGGGAUGGG